rnacentral:rRNA from 1 species
CUGGCGGCGUGCCUAAUACAUGCAAGUCGAGCGAGCGGAACCAACAGAUUUACUUCGGUAAUGACGUUGGGAAAGCGAGCGGCGGAUGGGUGAGUAACACGUGGGGAACCUGCCCCUAAGUCUGGGAUACCAUUUGGAAACAGGUGCUAAUACCGGAUAAUAAAGCAGAUCGCAUGAUCAGCUUUUGAAAGGCGGCGUAAGCUGUCGCUAAGGGAUGGCCCCGCGGUGCAUUAGCUAGUUGGUAAGGUAACGGCUUACCAAGGCGACGAUGCAUAGCCGAGUUGAGAGACUGAUCGGCCACAUUGGGACUGAGACACGGCCCAAACUCCUACGGGAGGCAGCAGUAGGGAAUCUUCCACAAUGGACGCAAGUCUGAUGGAGCAACGCCGCGUGAGUGAAGAAGGUUUUCGGAUCGUAAAGCUCUGUUGUUGGUGAAGAAGGAUAGAGGUAGUAACUGGCCUUUAUUUGACGGUAAUCAACCAGAAAGUCACGGCUAACUACGUG